GACGUGGGGGGCCAGCGUUGCUCGGAAUUACUGGGUGUAAAGGGUUCGUAGGCGGUUUGGUAAGUCUGAUGUGAAAUCUAUGGGCUCAACUCAUAGUCUGCAUCGGAAACUGCCGGGCUUGAGUGUGGGAGAGGUGAGUGGAAUUUCCGGUGUAGCGGUGAAAUGCGUAGAUAUCGGAAGGAACACCUGUGGCGAAAGCGGCUCACUGGACCACAACUGACGCUGA
rnacentral:rRNA from 1 species